rnacentral:rRNA from 1 species
GAUGGACGCUAGCGGCAGGCCUAAUACAUGCAAGUCGGACGGGAUUCAGGAGCUUGCUUCUGAUGAGAGUGGCGCACGGGUGCGUAACACGUAUGUAACCUACCUUUAUCAGGGGGAUAGCCUCUCGAAAGAGAGAUUAAGCCCGCAUAAAAUCACAGCACAGCAUUGUGUAAUGAUCAAAUAUUUAUAGGAUAAAGAUGGGCAUGCGGAACAUUAGCUAGAUGGCGGGGUAACGGCCCACCAUGGCGACGAUGUUUAGGGGAUCUGAGAGGAUGGCCCCCCACACUGGUACUGAGACACGGACCAGACUCCUACGGGAGGCAGCAGUAAGGAAUAUUGGUCAAUGGGCGGAAGCCUGAACCAGCCAUGCCGCGUGCAGGAAGACGGCCCUACGGGUUGUAAACUGCUUUUAUACGGGAAUAAACCCAGAUACGUGUAUCUGGCUGAAUGUACUGUAAGAAUAAGGAUCGGCUAACUCCGUG